rnacentral:tRNA from 1 species
GUUUCCGUAGUGUAGUGGUUAUCACGUUGGCCUAACACGCGAAAGGUCCCUGGUUCGAGCCCAGGCGGAAACA